rnacentral:lncRNA from 1 species
GGCGGGGUGUUUGCAGUAGCCCAUGUGAACUAUGUUUCUGUCGUUACCACUGCUGGACCCGCCUUCCUCUUUUCAUAGAAGAGGCGCCGAUGCGUGGCCGCAAACUGAUUUCCAAGUCCGUUGUCUAAUGCUGCGAGACAGUAUCCGUUUGUUACAGCGAAUUGGGGACCGAUGACGCUGGAGGUGGAAGAAGCCACGGUUCUGUUUCUUAAUGGCGAAUUAGCCUGCGGACUUCCUGUCACUCCCUUGCCUUUCAGCGUCCCAACUUAGCAACACUCCGCGUUUUGGGUGUUCUGAGCAGGCUUUGUCUACCCUGAAACGCUUCGUGUCGACAUUCCACCAGGUCUGUUCCACGGUCCAAACUUCUCUACCUUUUUUGACUCUCUAGAAUUGUGUUACGAUUAGUAGUAUAUUGUGUCAAGAGUCCGGGAUCUUUGAUGUUAGUUAUAUUCCCUGGCUGUUUAUGCCAAAGGGAAAUCCAAAUAGUAAUUUAUUACGUACAUUACGUAUAAUUCAGAAUAAAAUUAUGUAAGAACAGUUGCCAG